rnacentral:rRNA from 1 species
UACGGGGGGGGCAAGCGUUGUUCGGAAUUACUGGGCGUAAAGGGCUCGUAGGCGGCCAACUAAGUCAUACGUGAAAUCCCUCGGCUUAACCGGGGAACUGCGUCUGAUACUGGAUGGCUUGAGUUCGGGAGAGGGAUGCGGAAUUCCAGAUGUAGCGGUGAAAUGCGUAGAUAUCUGGAGGAACACCGGUGGCGAAGGCGGCAUCCUGGACCGAUACUGACGCUGAGGAGCGAAAGCCAGGGGAGCAAACGGG